CAGCUGGUAAAUAUUUAACAGCUAAUUCCCCAGGAGGGGAAAAGCCCUAGAGUGCAGAUUUUUUACAGAGUCCCAAGAUGUCCUUGAAGAGCAGGUUUGAGAGUCUGCAUCUGUGUUUCCGGCGCCCUUCCAACUGGAAUGGCUUCUUCCUAGCAACCCACUGGUCCACGGGCAGUCCAGGAGCCAGCCUUCUGAUCUGGAGGGAGGAGGAUUUGUGGGCGGCCCUAGCCCCUCUGCCCGCUCUCACAGACCCUCUCCAGAAGAAAGACCAGACCGUUGCUCAGUCAACAGUUUGCAAGGAUUCCAAUCAAAGCUUCUACGUCCCUUUGAAGUUCCUUCACAUAAGCCAGACAGGAUUCCCAGAGUCUUCAGGACAGAGCUCUCAGUGGCGGCCCUCAGCCUUUCCAGUCUGGUCUCCAUGAAUAGCUGGACUAGAAACGUGUCUGCAAUCUCACUGAGCAUCAGCGUAUUUUCGAGCUUGUAGUCCAUCACUAAGGGAAACUGAAGUGGGAACCUGGAGACCAGAUGCUGAUGCUGGAGUUACUGAUGCAGAGACCACGGAAGAGCACUGCUUAUCAGCUUGCUCCCCUUGGCUUGCUCAGCCUGUUUUCUUAUCCUACCCAGGACAACCUGCCCCCAAUAGACUAGGCCUUCCCACAUCAAUCACUAAUCAAGAAAAUGUCCCACAGACUUACCUUUUGGCCAUUGUUGGAGGCAUUUCCUCAAUGGAUGUUUCCUCUUCCUGAGUGG
rnacentral:lncRNA from 1 species